rnacentral:tRNA from 1 species
GCCGAGAUAGCUCAGUGGUAGAGCGCGGCCCUGAAAAGGCCGGCGGGGGGGGUCCGAUUCCCUCUCUCGGCA